UUUAUUUAAUAGGACUCUCAAAUUUGUUAUCAGAACCAACUCGAUCUUAAACCCAAUCUAUGUACCAAUUCCAGACCUGAUACCACCAACCCACCCAGUCUCACCCAUUCGCUUCCUUCGGCGGUUUCUCUGAAAUCUCCAAACUAUUCAUUUCUCUCCCCAAAGCCCCCCGCCCCUCUUCUUCGAAAUCGCAACCGUCUUCUGUCCGGCACCCACACAAGAACUCAUCACUGACGCAGAGCCCGCCGGAAGCUUUCUCUAGAGAACGAUAUGUCGGUCGCCGUCCCCAUGGCCUCGCCCAGUCGCCGGCUCGACUUGGAUGACCAGCCAUUCCUCAAUUCCAGGAUUUGUGCAAGAGAAAGGGAUAUGUUGAUAACUAGGAGGCAAGCAUGCCUUCUCCAAGCAUGACCAAGCAUAGAACGAGCAGUGUGAAAAUUUUUGGGGUCGAAUUGUGCCCUGACAAUGUGGCUGUUGCCAUGGUAUUUUGUUCAAGGUGUCCUAGGCCUUGCAGGGCUUGCUGUCGGUUUUUAUCUUUCCAUUUAAAAGACGAUUUGCAUCUCGACCUGGCUGAGUACAUUUACAUUCACACUAGCCGUCGGUUUUUAACUUUCCAUUUAAAAAAUCUUUGUUUAUGCUAUUGGUAUAUAUUUGCACUAGUAUAUAUUUGCAGAAUUAUACGCAGUGGCUCUAUUUAGUAGGUUCAUAAUCUAAUCAUGUGUUUAUCUUU